rnacentral:rRNA from 1 species
CGGGACAGCCUCGGGAAACCGUGGGUAAUACCGGAUACUCCGGGACGGCCGCAUGGCCGGCCCGGGAAAGCCCAGACGGGAGGGGAUGGGCCCGCGGCCUGUUAGCUGGUCGGCGGGGUAACGGCCCACCGAGGCGAUUAUGGGUAGCCGGGUUGAGAGACCGACCGGCCAGAUUGGGACUGAGACACGGCCCAGACUCCUACGGGAGGCAGCAGUGGGGAAUCUUGCGCAAUGGGCGGAAGCCUGACGCAGCGACGCCGCGUGCGGGACGAAGGCCUUCGGGUCGUAAACCGCUUUCAGCAGGGACGAGGCCCUCACGGUGACGGUACCUGCAGAAGAAGCCCCGGCUAACUACGUGCCAGCAGCCGCGGUAAUACGUAGGGGGCGAGCGUUAUCCGGAUUCAUUGGGCGUAAAGCGCGCGUAGGCGGCCUGUUAGGUCGGGGGUCAAAUACCGGGGCUCAACCCCGGUCCGCCCCCGAUACCGGCAGGCUUGAGUCUGGUAGGGGAAGGCGGAAUUCCCAGUGUAGCGGUGGAAUGCGCAGAUAUUGGGAAGAACACCGGCGGCGAAGGCGGCCUUCUGGGCCACGACUGACGCUGAGGCGCGAAAGCUAGGGGAGCGAACAGGAUUAGAUACCCUGGUAGUCCUAGCCGUAAACGAUGAA